rnacentral:lncRNA from 1 species
CACUCAAACAUCGAUAUAACAAACUCAGAUAUAACGAAUUAACGGUUACAACGAAGUAAAUGAAUAAUAGCCCUGUCAAAGAGA